rnacentral:snRNA from 1 species
UUCAGCCCUUUGUCGCUAA